GACAAUGGGCGAAAGCCUGAUCCAGCAAUGCCGCGUGUGUGAAGAAGGCCUUCGGGUUGUAAAGCACUUUUGUCCGGAAAGAAAUCCUUGGCUCUAAUACAGUCGGGGGAUGACGGUACCGGAAGAAUAAGCACCGGCUAACUACGUGCCAGCAGCCGCGGUAAUACGCAGGGUGCGAGCGUUAAUCGGAAUUACUGGGCGUAAAGCGUGCGCAGGCGGUUUGCUAAGACCGAUGUGAAAUCCCCGGGCUCAACCUGGGAACUGCAUUGGUGACUGGCAGGCUAGAGUAUGGCAGAGGGGGGUAGAAUUCCACGUGUAGCAGUGAAAUGCGUAGAGAUGUGGAGGAAUACCGAUGGCGAAGGCAGCCCCCUGGGCCAAUACUGACGCUCAUGCACGAAAGCGUGGGGAGCAAACAGGAUUAGAUACCCUGGUAGUCCACGCCCUAAACGAUGUCAACUAGUUGUUGGGGAUUCAUUUCCUUAGUAACGUAGCUAACGCGUGAAGUUGACCGCCUGGGGAGUACGGUCGCAAGAUUAAAACUCAAAGGAAUUGACGGGGACCCGCACAAGCGGUGGAUGAUGUGGAUUAAUUCGAUGCAACGCGAAAAACCUUAACCUACCCUUGACAUGGUCGGAAUCCCGCUGAGAGGUGGGAGUGCUCGAAAGAGAACCGGCGCACAGGUGCUGCAUGGCUGUCGUCAGCUCGUGGCGUGAGAUGUUGGGUUAAGUCCCGCAACGAGCGCAACCCUUGUCCUUAGUUGCUACGCAAGAGCACUCUAAGGAGACUGCCGGUGACAAACCGGAGGAAGGUGGGGAUGACGUCAAGUCCUCAUGGCCCUUAUGGGUAGGGCUUCACACGUCAUACAAUGGUCGGAACAGAGGGUUGCCAACCCGCGAGGGGGAGCUAAUCCCAGAAAACCGAUCGUAGUCCGGAUUGCACUCUGCAACUCGAGUGCAUGAAGCUGGAAUCGCUAGUAAUCGCGGAUCAGCAUGCCGCGGUGAAUACGUUCCCGGGCCUUGUACACACCGC
rnacentral:rRNA from 1 species